AUCCAGCUGACUAGUUUAAAAUAAGACGAAACGCUUAUCCUGGAU
rnacentral:hammerhead_ribozyme from 1 species